rfam:Bombyx mori DNA, contig: Bm_scaf62_contig29195, strain: p50T/Dazao, build 2, whole genome shotgun sequence.
UUAACUCAAUUUUUGUGUGGAGUUGGAACGUUUGCCUACGUUUGCCGCUAGGGGCGCUGUUCCAACUCCACACAAAUUUUAGUUA